GACGAACGCUGGCGGCGUGCUUAACACAUGCAAGUCGAACGGAAAGGCCCUGCUUUUGUGGGGUGCUCGAGUGGCGAACGGGUGAGUAACACGUGAGUAACCUGCCCUUGACUUUGGGAUAACUCCAGGAAACUGGGGCUAAUACCGGAUAGGAGCUCCUGCUGCAUGGUGGGGGUUGGAAAGUUUUGGCGGUUGGGGAUGGACUCGCGGCUUAUCAGCUUGUUGGUGGGGUAGUGGCUUACCAAGGCUUUGACGGGUAGCCGGCCUGGGAGGGUGACCGGCCACAUUGGGACUGCGAGACGGCCCAGACGCCUACGGGAGGCAGCAGUGGGGAAUAUUGCACAAUGGGCGGAAGCCUGAUGCAGCAACGCCGCGUGCGGGAUGACGGCCUUCGGGUUGUAAACCGCUUUCGCCGGUGACGAAGCGUGAGUGACGGUAAUGGGUAAAGAAGCACCGGCUAACUACGUG
rnacentral:rRNA from 1 species